UUUUGGGUUUUCUUUCGGCUUUCUUCUUGAAUUUAUAUCAGUGGUUUCUGUGCUUAAGUGCAGAUUUAGAGUUUUUGAGGCAAUCUAUUCUGUUUAGCGGCUAAUUUUUUCUUUUUGGGUUUUUCCUCUUGUGAUGGAUUUUCUUUUCAAUUCGAGAAAAAAAGUUAGUUCAUUAAUGAGCACUCUGAAAUGGUCCAGAAUCCAUCAGCAAUUUAUUAAAUUGUACAUCAAAGGGACGAUUAUUCAGUAAAUUCGAGGCUAAUUCUGGAAAAAAGUUAAUUUUUUAAUCUGGGGAGUGUUUGCUAGUUUUAGUUUUAAAUGGUUAUUUCUCUAAUGGUACUUAAGUUGAGUAUGUUACUUUAACCAGUUUAAAUCAAUAUCAAAAGAAAUAUUUUGUUUUUGUAGUUACACAACCUUUCUUUAUUUGGUAUUAUGUGCGACUAUGGUGUUUGGUUGUUCAUAAGGAUGUGCACAAAAUCUAAUUGUUGCUUGUUUCUGAUAUUUGAUGAUGUUCAUUGUUUUUUUUUCCAAACAUAGUAUAAAUUAUAUGUAACUCUAUAAUUACCUGUGCAAAGUAUUUGAGUAUAACCGUAAUUAGGCCCUUCAAUGGUUGAUCAAUUUAGGUGCAUGUCAGUUUUGUUCAACUAUAUGCUUGAAUGCUCUGCUUUAUAAGAAAGUUCAGUCAUUUGUUGAUGGCCUGAGUCUCUGGGAAGUGAUCCUAUUGUCUACUUAAGAGCAUGUAUAGAAGCGAACUUGUCAUUGUGGUUAGGAAACAAACCCCAAACUGGAGCCCCAUGUAACUGUGUCUAGAAGUGUAUGCUUUUUCAACAUAAGUGAUCUUAUAUAUUCUCUUUCACAGUACUGAAUUAUGUGCAAAUGUGUAAAGUUUUGAAGUUGUUUGAGAAAGGCUUAAACUAAUGCGCUGCUAGAUCUGCUAGUAGCAUAUGUUCCACUGCAAAUGUUUUAUCAUGGGUUUGUUUGUUUGACUUCAAAAAACUUGAAAAACCGGUUUCCCUGAAAGCUGGUCAUGCUAAACAUUUCUUGGAACCAUGACAUGAUAUGUUUUCUUGAAGAAGCCCAUAUUUUUUUGACAAAUCUUCUAUGAAUGAUAAAGAAAUUGACUUAAAACGGUCUUAGAAAUCGAUUUUUAAUAGAUAUGCUAAAAUAUCCUCAUAUUCCACUUAUAUAUGCCUGGCAAGUGAUGUCAAUAAAAGCUAAGCCUGCAAAUCCAACUUUCUUGACUGCACCCCUGUUUUGACACAUC
rnacentral:lncRNA from 1 species